rnacentral:rRNA from 1 species
ACUGAACGCUGGCGGCAGGCCUAACACAUGCAAGUCGAGCGGAUGAAGGGAGCUUGCUCCCUGAUUUAGCGGCGGACGGGUGAGUAAUGCCUAGGAAUCUGCCUGGUAGUGGGGGACAACGUUUCGAAAGGAACGCUAAUACCGCAUACGUCCUACGGGAGAAAGUGGGGGAUCUUCGGACCUCACGCUAUCAGAUGAGCCUAGGUCGGAUUAGCUAGUUGGUGAGGUAAAGGCUCACCAAGGCGACGAUCCGUAACUGGUCUGAGAGGAUGAUCAGUCACACUGGAACUGAGACACGGUCCAGACUCCUACGGGAGGCAGCAGUGGGGAAUAUUGGACAAUGGGCGAAAGCCUGAUCCAGCCAUGCCGCGUGUGUGAAGAAGGUCUUCGGAUUGUAAAGCACUUUAAGUUGGGAGGAAGGGCAGUAAGUUAAUACCUUGCUGUUUUGACGUUACCAACAGAAUAAGCACCGGCUAACUUCGUGCCAGCAGCCGCCGUAA